rnacentral:rRNA from 1 species
UACGGGAGGCAGCAGUGGGGAAUAUUGCGCAAUGGGGGAAACCCUGACGCAGCAACGCCGCGUGGGUGAAGAAGGCCUUAGGGUUGUAAAGCCCUUUCAGUGGGAAAGAUGAUGACGGUACCCACAGAAGAAGCUCCGGCUAACUCCGUGCCAGCAGCCGCGGUAAUACGGAGGGGGCAAGCGUUGUUCGGAAUUACUGGGCGUAAAGGGCGCGUAGGCGGUUAUGCAAGUCAGGAGUGAAAGCCCAAGGCUCAACCUUGGAACUGCUUCUGAAACUGUAUGACUGGAGUUCGGCAGAGGAUGGUGGAAUUCCCCGUGUAGAGGUGAAAUUCGUAGAUAUGGGGAGGAACACCGGAGGCGAAGGCGGCCAUCUGGACCGAUACUGACGCUAAGGCGCGAAAGCGUGGGGAGCAAACAGGAUUAGAUACCCUGGUAGUCCACGCCGUAA